AUGUGGCAAUGGAUCCGCGGACGGAUUCCGUCUGGCGUAGAGGUCCGCAAGCGCAAUGGCCCCGGUACCGGCCUUUACCCGCUUUGUGGCGUCCCUGAAGACUCGAAUCACAUCUUCUUCACUUGCUUUUCCGCCCAAUUUCUUUGGGGCUGUUUUCGUGAGGUGGUUGGUGGCAACUGGUGCCACACCAAUUUCCCCGACAUGUUCGCUGAACUCCAGGCCUCCUCCCCGCAUUCUCGCCACAUUAGGUGGUUGGAGAUUGGGACUCUUGCUUGGACCCUCUGGACGAUCCGCAAUAGAUUUGUGAUCUAG
rnacentral:rRNA from 1 species